UUCUGGCUCAGGAUGAACGCUAGCGGCAGGCUUAACACAUGCAAGUCGAGGGGCAUCGGGAGUAGCAAUACUUGCCGGCGACCGGCGCAAGGGUGCGUAACGCGUGAGCAACAUGCCCGUAUCAGGGGGAUAAUCCAUGGAAACGUGGUCUAAUACCCCAUAGUAAUUAUGUAAGGCAUCUUAUAUAAUUUAAAGCUUUGGUGGAUACGGAUUGGCUCGCGUGACAUUAGCUGGAUGGUAAGGUAACGGCUUACCAUGGCUACGAUGUCUAGGGGUUCUGAGAGGAAGGUCCCCCCACACUGGAACUGAGACACGGUCCAGACUCCUACGGGAGGCAGCAGUGAGGAAUAUUGGACAAUGGAUGGAAAUCUGAUCCAGCCAUGCCGCGUGCAGGAAAGACGGCCCUAUGGGUUGUAAACUGCUUUUGUAUGGGAGCAAUAAGGGCUACGUGUAGUCCGAUGAGAGUACCAUACGAAUAAGCACCGGCUAACUCCGUGCCAGCAGCAGC
rnacentral:rRNA from 1 species